CUUUUUUGUGUAUUGAGACUUGUUAGGUCAAGUCAGUCUUGUGUCUUGUUUCUUGUGGAAAACAUGGCUCCCCUCUGGAGGAUUUACGUGCUCUACUGAUGAGCACCUCGGCCUGAGUCAUACUUGGUCCACACUGUAGGGAAUCUUCUUGAAGUCCUGAUUCUUCACCUCAUUUGACCUCAUGUGUUUGAGGAAUGCUGGGGGAUGGGGUUGUUUUCUGACACUGACCAGAUGCCAUCCCUGAGUGAGGCAGGGGCCUUGAGAUGCUGCCAGAGUCCUCAUUCUGUUUCACAUUAGGCUUGCUGUCACUCCUGUUAAGGAUCUCACUCUGGGAAUUUCCCUUUUUUUUUGUUCUCCUUCUAUUUGUUGGAAUCCCUGACAGGCCUUUUGGGGGUUCUCUGGAUAUCGGUUAAGGCUAGAUUAAGCUGAAGAAAACCUUAAACAACAAGUAUCUUGUUCUGCCGUGGCUGCUUGAGCUCCAGCUCUGACCUCAGCAUUCCAUCUAGCCUGGAGGAGGAAGAGACAUGUUUCUGACCUUUUAUGGCACUCAACUUACAUCCUAUGAGCCAGAAUUUAAUGACAUUGCCACCUAGCUGAAAGGGAGCCUGGAAAACAUCUGUUUUAGGUAGUCUUGUGCUU
rnacentral:lncRNA from 1 species